AGAGUUUGAUCCUGGCUCAGGACGAACGCUGGCGGCGCGCUUAAUACAUGCAAGUCGAGCGAGAACCAGUCCUUCGGGACUGGGGAAAGCGGCGAACGGGUGAGUAACACGUGGGUAAUCUGCCCUCGGCACUGGGAUAGCCCGGGGAAACCCGGAUUAAUACCGGAUAGCCUUUCGAGCCUUCGGGCUCGUCAGAAAAGGUGGCUUCGGCUUCCGGCUGAGGAUGAGCCCGCGGCGGAUUAGCUUGUUGGUGAGGUAAUGGCUCACCAAGGCUCCGAUCUGUAGCUGGUCUGAGAGGACGAUCAGCCACACUGGGACUGAGACACGGCCCAGACUCCUACGGGAGGCAGCAGUAGGGAAUCUUGCGCAAUGGGCGAAAGCCUGACGCAGCGACGCCGCGUGCGGGAAGAAGGCCUUCGGGUUGUAAACCGCUUUCAGGAGGGACGAAGCCACUCGGGUUAAUAGCCCAGAGGGUGACGGUACCUCCAGAAGAAGCUCCGGCUAACUACGUGCCAGCAGCGGCGGUAAUUC
rnacentral:rRNA from 1 species